CCUACGGGAGGCAGCAGUGGGGAAUUUUGGACAAUGGGCGCAAGCCUGAUCCAGCCAUGCCGCGUGUGGGAAGAAGGCCUUCGGGUUGUAAACCACUUUUGUCAGGGAAGAAACGGCUUUUUCUAAUACAGAGAGCUAAUGACGGUACCUGAAGAAUAAGCACCGGCUAACUACGUGCCAGCAGCCGCGGUAAUACGUAGGGUGCAAGCGUUAAUCGGAAUUACUGGGCGUAAAGCGUGCGCAGGCGGCUUUGCAAGACAGAUGUGAAAUCCCCGGGCUCAACCUGGGAACUGCAUUUGUGACUGCAUGGCUAGAGUACGGUAGAGGGGGAUGGAAUUCCGCGUGUAGCAGUGAAAUGCGUAGAUAUGCGGAGGAACACCGAUGGCGAAGGCAAUCCCCUGGACCUGUACUGACGCUCAUGCACGAAAGCGUGGGGAGCAAACAGGAUUAGAUACCCUGGUAGUCCACGCCCUAAACGAUGUCAACUGGUUGUUGGACGGCUUGCUGUUCAGUAACGAAGCUAACGCGUGAAGUUGACCGCCUGGGGAGUACGGCCGCAAGGUUGAAACGUUUAAAGAGUAAGUUGACGG
rnacentral:rRNA from 1 species